rnacentral:tRNA from 1 species
GGAGAGAUGGCAGAGCGGUUUAAUGCGGCAGUCUUGAAAACUGUUGACGGCGUGAGUCGUCCCGGGGUUCGAAUCCCUGUCUCUCCG